AUACGUAGGUGACAAGCGUUAUCCGGAUUUACUGGGCGUAAAGGGCGUGUAGGCGGUCUUGCAAGUCAGAAGUGAAAUUCCUGAGCUCAACUCGGGCGCUGCUUCUGAAACUGCAGGACUUGAGUGCUGGAGGGGAUAGCGGAAUUCCUAGUGGAGCGGUAAAAUGCGCAGAUAUUAGGAAGAACACCGGUGGCGAAGGCGGCUAUCUGGACAGUAACUGACGCUGAGGCGCGAAAGCGUGGGGAGCAAACAGGAUUAGAUCCCCUGGUAGUCCACGCCGUAAACGAUGAAUGCUAGGUGUAGGGGGUAUCGACUCCCUCUGUGCCGCAGUUAACACAAUAAGUAUUCCGCCUGGGGAGUACGGCCGCAAGGUUGAAACUCAAAUGAAUUGACGGGG
rnacentral:rRNA from 1 species